UCCGGCCGGUGGGGUGGGUGGAGGGUGAGAGGGUAAGUCAUGCUUCCUCUCUCAAUUAGUGGUUGCUGGGCCCUCUUCAGACUCCCCCCUUCCCCAAAAACCAAACCAAACAAAAAACAACAUUCUUCAGCCUCACUGCAUAAAACUAAAUGUUAGAUUUAUGGUCAAAUUUUAAUAUCUGCAAAAAACACAAAAUUUCUUGAUAAAAAUUUUGAUUAUUUUUGCUUUCUUAAAACAUUCAAACAAGACUGAGGCAAUUAUGCGAUAAGGCUAAAGAACUGUUAGUGAUCGAGAGACAUGUUUUUUUUAAAGUAAGUACAGACAUGGAGGAAACUGUGAUUUUGCCAUUAGGGCGGGUGGUGGAGGGUCAAGGGGGGGGUGCAUACCUCCUUCGUUAAUUGCUGGUUUCUGGCCCCUCUUCCCAAAAAGCCCCCCCCCCCAAAAAAAGAAAAAAAAACAUUCUUUAUUCUGCAUGCCCUCUGAUACAAUAUCAAUGUCGGUCAUUAAUUUCCUUCAACCAAUCAAAUUCUGAGUUGGUGUCAGCAGGGCUUUCUAGCAGGCUUAGCCAACGUCUCAGUAUUCAGACCUUCUGAUUGGACAGAAGUUUCAGGAAAACAGGAAAAAUUUCCCAACUGCAGCCUUGCCCAGUUUGACACAGAGCCACGGAGCACUUUUUUAUCUGUCUCUGUUUAAAAACAGAGCUGACUGUAAUGGAUGAUUUAGCAAGUAAAUCUCCCACUGAUCUCCUUUACUUCCUUCAUCAGAAAAAUCUGAGUAAGAGCACGAGCAGCCGUACAGAUUUGUGUGUUUGGAGCUGACCAUUCCCGUGUCCACUGCGUCUGUCGAACGGACAUUUUUAGCUCUGAAGCAAAUUAAAACCUACGCAAAAACACAACUGGACAGACUCGGCCUUAAAUUGUGGGAUGGCUACAUUUCAUUUCCCUAUUCAUUUUCUAUGAGCCUUCUCAGGAUCACAUGGACUUUGAGUUUUUGCCUGCUGUUAACAAAAAAUGGCAGAAAUUCACAACUUUUUGGGUGGAAAAUCCCACAAAACAAGAUAUUUUGAGGACUAAUCUUUAUUUUGAUAACAUUUCUAUCGAGAAAUUUACCUUUUACUUUCAUAAUAUACAUUCAUUUAGGCUUACGUGGGUCACAUGACAAGUGAGUUUAUCUUUUUUCUGGGGAAAACCUCGUAAAAAGGUCUGUUGCAGCUUGAUUUACAUUUCUAAGGACCGGUGUAUGGGUUUCGUGUUCCGUGUUGCUAUUGCGGCGAUCACUAGUGGAACAGGCUUUGAAUGACAUUUGAAUCAAACAAUGUUGAGUUCAGGGACAGGGACGUACCCGGAACACCUCCCCAGUGAGGCAUCUCAGGAGGCCCAAGCCCCCUCAACUGGCUCCUCUGGAUGUAGAGAAACAGAAGUCUCCACUCAGAGCUCUCUCCAGGUGACUGAGCUUCCUAAACAUGUUCCGUGAAGACAUAUUUGUGAAUCCCUUAUAUUUGCAGAGAUGGCUUUCUCCACAGAACGUGCAGUUCUUCUGCUCUGAUGUAGUCUACGAGUACUGGCCAUAUUUGGAGAAGGUUGUGUUCCAGUGUCCUGAGAUGCAGGACCUGUUGGACAUGUGUCCUAUUCAAGCUCCCUCUUGGAUGAAUGAGGAGGAUCUGGGGAUGUAAUCGAGAAGGGACCACAUUAGGGAAAGGGACUGAACCAAGUAAACAGCUUCCUCUCUUCAGCAGACACAUGUUCCGAGUACAUGUAUGUCAAAAGCUGACAUCCUCACCGUUCAGGCCGGUGGCUGGAACAAGCCAAAGUCAGAAAAGCUGGACCAAAUAUUACCAAAAUGACACUCCCAGGAUCAAUCAUAAUGACCCGGAAAAAAACAUUGAAGGACUUUAUCUGAGCAUCAGGAAAACAAGUAUCAGCUGUGUCAAGAAAAUAUGGUUAUGGUGUCAUGGUAAAGAACAAAAGGCUUUAUGAUGUCAUGCUGCUGACCAGACUGGGGUUGGUGAAGUCAAGCAGGGCCGCGGAUCCUUGAAGAGUUGUUGAAGAGCUCUCCUCCCAGCUUUUGGAAGGUAUUGCCCUGCAAAGCCAGGAAGUUUUCUCUUUGUAAAUUGCAUGAAAGUCCACAGCUUGUAGCACUUGUGUGUUUUUCUCACACAAAUGCUAUAUGAAUUAAAUGAAUUAAAUUCUUAGGCAGCACAGAGGCAGUGACAGAGUGAGGCGUGAGGGACUAACUGCCUGCUGAGGAGGAGAUUGUUUCAGAUCAAAUGUCCAUUAAAAGCCCCAGCCCCACCCCUAAA